rnacentral:RNase_P_RNA from 1 species
CGAGUCGGUCGGGCGACCGCGGUCGUUCCCUCGGGAGCGGUCGAGGAAAGUCCGGACUCCACAGGGCAGGACGGUGGGUAACGCCCACCCGGGGUGACCCGCGGGCAUGUGCAACAGAAAGUAGACCGCCAGCCUCGGCUGGUAAGGGUGAAACGGUGGUGUAAGAGACCACCAGCGCCGGUGGUGACAUCGGCGGCUGGGUAAACCCCGUCCGGAGCAAGGCCAAGAGGGGACUUCGGUCCCUGCGCAGACGAGUUGCCCGCUCGAUGUCUGCGGGUGGGCCGCAUCGAGGUCACCGGUGACGGUGGCCCCAGACAGAUGGUCGUCGCCGGGGAGACCCGGUACAGAAUCCGGCUUACAGACCGACUCGCCAC